AUUGAACGCUGGCGGCAUGCCUUACACAUGCAAGUCGAACGGCAGCGGACCUUCGGGUGCCGGCGAGUGGCGAACGGGUGAGUAAUAUAUCGGAACGUACCUUUCAGUGGGGGAUAACGUAGCGAAAGUUACGCUAAUACCGCAUAUUCUGUGAGCAGGAAAGCAGGGGAUCGCAAGACCUUGCGCUGAUUGAGCGGCCGAUAUCAGAUUAGCUAGUUGGUGAGGUAAAGGCUCACCAAGGCGACGAUCUGUAGCGGGUCUGAGAGGAUGAUCCGCCACACUGGAACUGAGACACGGUCCAGACUCCUACGGGAGGCAGCAGUGGGGAAUAUUGGACAAUGGGGGCAACCCUGAUCCAGCCAUGCCGCGUGUGUGAAGAAGGCC
rnacentral:rRNA from 1 species